ACUGGGCGUAGUGGUGCAUGCCUAUAGUCUCACCUACUCAGGAGACUGAGACAGGAGGAUUGCUUGAGUCCAGGAGUUCUGGGCUGCAGUGUGCUAUGCUGAUCAGGUGUCUGCACUAAAUUUGGCAUCAAUAUGAUAAUCUCCUGGGAGCAGGGGACCACCAGGUUGCCUAAGGAGGGGUGAACCGGCCCAGGUUGGAAAAAAAAAAAAAAAAAGACAGGUUGGUGAGAUGGCUCAGUGGAUAAAGGCACAUUUUUUUUUUUACUUUUAUCGUAAAGCCUGGGGACAUAAGUUCCAUGUUUGU
rnacentral:SRP_RNA from 1 species